rnacentral:rRNA from 1 species
UGCCAGACUCCUACGGGAGGCAGCAGUGGGGAAUAUUGCACAAUGGGGGAAACCCUGAUGCAGCAACGCCGCGUGAGUGAAGAAGUCAUUCGUGAUGUAAAGCUCUAUCAGCAGGGAAGAAAAUGACGGUACCUGAGUAAGAAGCCCCGGCUAACUACGUGCCAGCAGCCGCGGUAAUACGUAGGGGGCAAGCGUUAUCCGGAUUUACUGGGUGUAAAGGGAGCGUAGACGGCCAGACAAGUCUGAAGUGAAAAUCCAGCGCUUAACGUUGGAAGUGCUUUGGAAACUGCCGGGCUGGAGUGCAGGAGGGGCAGGCGGAAUUCCUAGUGUAGCGGUGAAAUGCGUAGAUGUUAGGAGGAACACCAGUGGCGAAGGCGGCUUACUGGACUGUAACUGACGUUGAGGCUCGAAAGCGUGGGGAGCAAACAGGAUUAGAUACCCCAGUA